rnacentral:rRNA from 1 species
CAGCCGCCACGGUAAUACGUAGGUGGCAAGCGUUGUCCGGAAUUAUUGGGCGUAAAGGGCUCGCAGGCGGUUUCUUAAGUCUGAUGUGAAAGCCCCCGGCUCAACUGGGGAGGGUCAUUGGAAACUGGGAAACUUGAGUGCAGAAGAGGAGAGUGGAAUUCCACGUGUAGCGGUGAAAUGCGUAGAGAUGUGGAGGAACACCAGUGGCGAAGGCGACUCUCUGGUCUGUAACUGACGCUGAGGAGCGAAAGCGUGGGGAGCGAACAGGAUUAGAUACCCCCGUAGUCCCUGUCUCUUAUAC